GACGAACGCUGGCGGCGUGCUUAACACAUGCAAGUCGAACGGAAAGGCCCUGCUUUUGUGGGGUGCUCGAGUGGCGAACGUGUGAGUAGCACGGGAGUAACCUGCCCUUGACUUUGGUAUAACUUCAGGAAACUGGGGCUAAUACCGGAUAGGAGCUCCUGCUGCAUGGUGGGGGUUGGAAAGUUUCGGCGGUUGGGGAUGGACUCGCGGCUUAUCAGCUUGUUGGUGGGGUAGUGGCUUACCAAGGCUUUGACGGGUAGCCGGCCUGAGAGGGUGACCGGCCACAUUGGGACUGAGAUACGGCCAAGACUCCUACGGGAGGAAGAAGUGGGGAAUAUUGAAAAAUGGGCGGAAGCCUGAUGCAGCAACGCCGCGGGCGGGAUGACGGCCUUCGGGUUGUAAACCGCUUUCGCCUGUGACGAAGCGUGAGUGACGGUAAUGGGUAAAGAAGCACCGGCUAACUACGUG
rnacentral:rRNA from 1 species